AUUGAACGCUGGCGGCAUGCCUUACACAUGCAAGUCGAACGGCAGCACGGGAGCAAUCCUGGUGGCGAGUGGCGAACGGGUGAGUAAUAUAUCGGAACGUGCCCAGUCGUGGGGGAUAACGUAGCGAAAGCUACGCUAAUACCGCAUACGAUCUAUGGAUGAAAGCGGGGGAUCGCAAGACCUCGCGCGAUUGGAGCGGCCGAUAUCAGAUUGGGUAGUUGGUGAGGUAAAGGCUCACCAAGCCGACGAUCUGUAGCUGGUCUGAGAGGACGACCAGCCACACUGGGACUGAGACACGGCCCAGACUCCUAC
rnacentral:rRNA from 1 species